AUGUUCAUCAGCCAAAGCUUCAUCAACACAUCAACUUCUCUUUAUCAUCUGAGCUUCCAGCCUCCUCUGAGCGAUCUGAAAGACCUCAUCAGAGCCUUUAAGUCAAACAUGACCAGCUCAGAACCGUGCCCACGCCUGUUCCAUCAGAACCAUGUCCAUGUGUUCCAUCAAAACCAUGUCCACAAGUGUUCCAUCAGAACCAUAUCCCACGCGUGUUCCAUCAGAGCCGUGCCAACGCCGGUUCCAUCAGAACCAUUUCCCACGGGUGUACCAUCAGAGCCGCACACGCGUGUUCCAUCAGAGCAAUGUCCACAUGUGUUCCAUCAGAACCAUGCCCACGCCUGUUCCAUCAGAACUUUGUCCACAAGUGUUCCAUCAGAACCAUGCCCUCGCGUGUUCCAUCAGAGCUUUGUCCACAUGUGUUAAAUCAGAACCGUGUCUAUGCUUGUUCCAUCAGAACCAUGUCCACAUGUGUUCCAUUAGAGCCGUGCCCACGCGUGUUUAAUUAGAUCUUCUUAGCAUUCUCCUGACAACUGAAGCCCAGCUGUUCUGACUGACCACAACCUGAGCCCCCUCACCCCAAGACGAACUGUACCUGAAAAUCUAGGCUUUUCUCUUAGUUUGGUUGUUGGUUUGACCUUUACAUUACAUUAACCCUUGUUUCAUGUUAGAAAAAUUACACUGAUUAGACUGCAGGUCUUUUAAUCCCAUACCGUGAAAAUCCACUCAAACCAGUCAAAAAACUGUUCAAGUCUUCUGGAGCUCAUGGCUGGUGCGUUGGUCAAUGAGACGUCAUAAGAAAAGUGACAAGAAAAACAAACAGAAAUUCCCCCUUCCACUCACAGCCUGGGUCUCUGGCAGAAUCCUGUCCAGAUUUUACGCACUAUUGAGGACCCAGAAUGAGGAGAAGUCACAAUAAUGAAUGAAGAAAAAGAAAGAUUAACCAGAUCAACACAAAAAGCAAAGUGGGUCAAACUGACCCUUUGGGUCACAUAUGGGUUAAUAAUCUCAGCUGUAGUUCAUGGAGCAGA
rnacentral:lncRNA from 1 species